CCACGCACACGUGGCGGCGGUGGCGCCUUGAAGGUGUCAAGUGUCCCCCUCGCUGUUAUUUUUGGAAGUGGCCCGCGUUGGGCCCAUGUUGAGCCAGGCAGCUGCUAUAAGGGCGCCUGGCUCCUCAUCCCACGGCUCUUCCAUCGAGUGCUCCAAGCCGGCAAGAUCAGCCACCCCCCGUCCGUUCUCUCCUCUCUCUCACUAGACAGGGACCCACUCCUCAAGCCGCGAUGGGGGACGAGGUAAGAACGCUUGGCAUCGCAUUUCUGUACACGAUGUAGGGGCCGUCCAUAAAUGACGUCACGCACCUAGGGGGGGGUCAGACAUUUGUGACGAUGGGGGGGGGGGGGGUUGAGAAUUGUGACGUCACGUAAAAAUGCGCAAAUUUAAACAAAUAUAGACAAACACGUUCUACUUAAUUAAAUAGACUUUUUAAUAAAUGUUUUCUUCCUACAACAUCAGAGUGCAGCGCCACUUUAAAUACGCGCUACAAUGACAAUAGUUUAAAGCGAUUUGAAGCAUGUUUU